UACGUAGGGAGCAAGCGUUGUCCGGAAUCAUUGGGCGUAAAGCGCGCGUAGGUGGCCCCGUAAGUCCGCUGUGAAAGUCAAAGGCUCAACCUUUGAAAGCCGGUGGAUACUGUGGGACUAGAGUACGGAAGAGGCGAGUGGAAUUCCUGGUGUAGCGGUGGAAUGCGCAGAUAUCAGGAGGAACACCAAUAGCGAAGGCAGCUCGCUGGGACGUUACUGACACUGAGGCGCGAAAGCGUGGGAGCGAACAGG
rnacentral:rRNA from 1 species